UCCGGGAUCGUCUAAUGGCAGGACGGGUGGUUCUGGUCCACCAAAUCGGGGUUCGAAUCCCUGUCCCGGAACUA
rnacentral:tRNA from 1 species